rnacentral:misc_RNA from 1 species
UACGGAGGGGGUUAGCGUUGUUCGGAAUCAUUGGGUGUAAAGGGUGCGCAGGCUGGCGCCUAAGUCGGAGGUGAAAUCUUGCCGCUUAACGGUAAAAUUGCCCCCGAUACUGGGUGUCUUGAAUCUGACAGAGGUCGGUGGAAUUCGUGGUGUAGCGGUGAAAUGCAUAGAGAUCACGAAGAACACCAGUGGAGAAGCGGGCCGGCUGGGUCAGAAUUGACGCUGAGGCACGAGAGCGUGGGGAGCGAACAGG